UUAAAUUGAAGAGUUUGAUCAUGGCUCAGAUUGAACGCUGGCGGCAGGCCUAACACAUGCAAGUCGAGCGGAAACGAAUUAUC
rnacentral:rRNA from 1 species